rnacentral:rRNA from 1 species
CGCGCCUCGCGCGCGCCGAGGGAGGAUGGGCGAGGCACCGCCUCGCCCCGCACUCCCGGGGCGUCUCGUUCUCAUCGCGAGAAGAGGCGCACCCAGAGCGUACACGCUGGGACCCGAAAGAUGGUGAACUAUGCCUGGUCAGGACGAAGUCAGGGGAAACCCUGAUGGAGGUCCGUAGCGAUUCUGACGUGCAAAUCGAUCGUCGGAACUGGGUAUAGGGGCGAAAGACUAAUCGAACCAUCUAGUAGCUGGUUCCCUCCGAAGUUUCCCUCAGGAUAGCUGGCGCUCGCUUUUGCGAGUCUCAUCCGGUAAAGCGAAUGAUUAGAGGCAUUGGGGUCGAAACGGCCUCAACCUAUUCUCAAACUUUAAAUGGGUGAGAUCUCCGGCUUGCUUAAAUACAUUUUAUGAAGCCGCGAGAUCGGAUCAGAGUGCCAAGUGGGCCAUUUUUGGUAAGCAGAACUGGCGCUGUGGGAUGAACCAAACGCGGAGUUAAAGCGCCUAAAUCGACGCUUAUGAGAUACCAUGAAAGGCGUUGGUAACUUAAGACAGCAGGACGGUGGCCAUGGAA